AUUGAACGCUGGCGGCAGGCCUAACACAUGCAAGUCGAGCGGAUGAAGGGAGCUUGCUCCUGGAUUCCGCGGCGGGCGGGUGAGUAAUGCGUACGAAUCUCCCUGGUAGUGGGGGAUAACGUCCGGAAGCGGGCGCAAAUCCCGCAUACGUCCUGAGGGGGAUAGUGGGGGAUUUUAAGCCCCCACGCUAUCAGAUGAGCCUGGGUCGGAUUAGCUAGUUGGUGGGGUAAAGGCUUACCAAGUCGACGAUCCGUAACUGAUCUGAGAGGAUGAUCAGUCACACCGGAACGGUAACACGGCACAGACUCCUAAGGGAGGGAGCAGAGGGGAAUAGUAGACAAGGGGCGAAAGCCUGAUCCAGCCAAGCCGCGUGUGUGAAGGAGGGCUUCGGAUUGUAAAGCACUAUAAGUUGGGAGGAAGGGCAGUAAGUUAAUACCUAGCUGUUUUGACGUUACCAACAGAAUAAGCACCGGCUAACUUCGUG
rnacentral:rRNA from 1 species